AUCGGGAUUAAUCAAAUGCCCAUUUUUGCGAUCCAUGUAAUUUCUCUCUAGCCAAUUAAAAACAACAACAAUUAAUUGAAUUAAUAUUAAUAAAAAUCAUACAACAAAAUCUCAAAUCCGUCUUCCUUGAACUAGGCCACGUGUUUGUUUUCAAUUGGGAGGUGUCCAUAGGAUUCUCUAUGGACAGCUAAUGAAGGUUUCUUUACAGUUGGGCCAUAACGGCUCUUAAAAAAAUCCAAAAAAAGAGGGGACCAUCGGGAACGAAAAAAAAGGAAAUACAAAAAGAAAAGGGAAGAUUUUUUCUUCUCUCCUGGACACACACUCACGAAUUCUCUCUCUUUCUCUUCUAAAAAACGGAAAAGGUGGAAAAGAAAGACAGAAAAUUCCCUCACACGUUAUCUCCCUCAUCCGCCUUCACACUAGACAAAAAAAACAAACCCACAACCUCUUACGUCCGCCACCACUCACCAUUCUCCCUCUGUUUUCCGUUGAAAACCCUUUCACUUUACCUCCACCUUCACACCACUUACCAUCGGUAUAUACUGACCACCACUGUGAUUCAACAUACC
rnacentral:lncRNA from 1 species